rnacentral:misc_RNA from 1 species
AACCAUAGAAACCUGCGGAGUACCUGCGGAAGGAUCAUUACAGAGUUGCAAAACUCCCCAAACCAUUGUGAACCUUACCUUCAAACGUUGCUUCGGCGGGCGGGCCACAGCGCCCCCCGGGCCCCCCCAGCGGGGGCGCCCGCCGGAGGAUACCCAAACUCUUGAUACUUUAUGGCCUCUCUGAGUCUUCUGUACUGAAUAAGUCAAAACUUUCAACAACGGAUCUCAGAUCGGAAGAGC